ACUCUCGAAUCGGUGAAAAAAAAUCUCCUCCACCUACUCCCGCACCAAACCUCCACCUCCGCCCACGUCUCUGGAUCCACCCGCCUCCCUCUCCCACGCGCCCCUCCCAACGCACCCACGCCGCCGCGCGCCUCUUCCUCUACGGCUGGCGUGCCACCUCCGCUAUGGCCGGCGCGCCUCCAUCCCCGCCGCCGCGCGCCACCUCCGCCACGGCCGGCGUGCCUCCAUCCCCGCCGCCGCGCGCCACCUCCCCCGUGGCCGGCGCCCCUCCUCCUCCAACACCGGCGCGCCUCCUCCCCCACGGCAGCCGCCCUCCGCCCCAACCACCUCCCCGCCACCAGGUGCGCCGCCGCAGUAACCACCUAACGGUUGUCGUUGCCUGCAACCCUGCGCUUCCGUCGCUGGACCACGACCUUUUCUUGGAUCAAGACCGGCCCUCCCCUGGUGUCGGCCGAGCGCCUCCCCUCCCAGCGUUCCACCUCCUACCUCGCCAAGGUCGGCCGUCACCUACGCCAUGCCCCGGUCCUCCACUCUGCGCAGUUCGACCUCGUACGCCCGCACCGUUCGACCUCGCCGGAGCCGCCAGUCCAUAUGGAGGAGAUGUUGCUGGUUGAUUAGUUUGAUGCCCCACGCACCUGGGCAGAGCAUGAGCACGAGCAGCCAGAAGGAGACGCUCAUCGCAUGGCACUGGCAUUGCGUCUGCUCUUGUACAUUGUCUCUCUCUUCUUGUUGACUUUCCUUCUAUCUCUCCUAGCUACAAGUAGUAGGUGCAUCUCUGUCAGUGCUACUCUCUGUUCUUUCUCUAUGCUUCGGUUAGCAAAUAUGUAUAAAAGGAUAACUAUAUACUGCUUUUAACAAAGUUCAACAACAAAACAACGGGGGGAUGUUUGGUGGUAUGCUUUGGCAGAAACCUUAGUAAUCAGUGGACAAUUCAAGUUCAGUACAAGAUUUCAGCAUGGACCAUUUUCAGUCCAGGGAGAUGUUCAACACUACUAAAAUUAGUUUAGCUUUUUGGUUCUGCCCUUACUACAGAUUGUUUAAUUUCCAUACUGAUGUGGGCAAAAAAAGGUUAUAUCUUCUUGCAAGUUCAGGAAGAAGAAAUUCAGUUCAAUUUGUUCUAGGGAAAAAGGUUAAAUCCUGUGUCGCCGCAGGUCAGCCACAUGAGGGUCAACAUUCACCGCGUUCGACUUGCCCUCGCACCUCUCAUAGAACUUCCCCAGCUGCUUGAUCCGGUGGAUAGAACAGACAAUAUUCAUCGUCUAAUGGUUACUGAAUUUCUUCGACAGUCACCAACAGUCUGAAGUGAUAAAUCUAUGCAAAAGUGUUAGUGCUGAAGGUUUUGUAGAGAGACAGAGAGAGAGCAUCGCAACACUGAGAGGAUAAUAUUGUAAUGUGUGGGGGAGAGAGAGAGAGCAGCAACAGUGAGAGGAUAAUAUUGGAAUGUGUGGGGGAGAAGGCAUCACGUAUUCUAUUGAGUAUUGACCACUACUUUUUCCAACUAGGUGCGUUUUUAAAGUUGUAAACAUGUACUGAUGUACACGUCUAUCUCAACCUUGCCGCGCCUUCUUCUCUUGGUGUGAUAAAUUCUUCCAAUUUUUUUGUGCCGUUCAAUGUGUAUACUAAAAGAAGGGGAAAACAACAUGUGAACAUCAGUGUGUAUUGACCACUAUUGAGUAUUGACCACUAAUUUUUCCAACUAGUGUGUG
rnacentral:rRNA from 1 species